rnacentral:rRNA from 1 species
GGGGGGGGGGGGGGGGGGGGGGGGGGGGGGCGGGGGGGGGGGGGGGGGGGGGCUGGCUCCUGGGUUCCGCGGCGGGCGGGGGGGUGGUGCCUAUGCAUCUGCCUGGUGGUGGGGGAUGACGUCCGGCGCCGGGCGCUCAUACCGCAUGCGUCCUGCGGGAGCACGUGGGUGGUCUUCGGCCCUCACCCUCUCUGCUCCGCCUAGGUCGGCUUCGCUCGUUGGUUGGGCCAAGGCCUACCCAGGCGCCGAUCCGUAACUGGUCUGAGAGGAUGAUCAGUCACACUGGAACUGAGACACGGUCCAGACUCCUACGGGAGGCAGCAGUGGGGAAUAUUGGACAAUGGGCGAAAGCCUGAUCCAGCCAUGCCGCGUGUGUGAAGAAGGUCUUCGGAUUGUAAAGCACUUUAAGUUGGGAGGAAGGGCAGUAAGUUAAUACCUUGCUGUGUUGACGUUACCAACAGAAUAAGCACCGGCUAACUUCGUG